CUGUUAUUGAAGGACGUUCUAGAGUGCGAUGGGGUUCAUACCUUUAUCUGCCAAAACGGGACCUCUGUUGAGGUAUAUAUUGAAUAUUCCGUACUAAGGAUUUAAUCCGGAACGUCUAGAGACUACACGGCAGACCAUUGUUGGUGGUAUGAAUGGAUAGUCCCUAGUGAACCAUCUAGGCAUCCCAUACAAAAUGGUUA
rnacentral:autocatalytically_spliced_intron from 15 species